CGGCGAGUGAAGCGGCAACAGCUCAAAUUUGAAAUCUGGCCCUAGCGGUCCGAAUUGUAAUUUGUAGAGGAUGCUUUUGGUGCGGUGCCUUCCGAGUUCCCUGGAACGGGACGCCAGAGAGGGUGAGAGCCCCGUACGGUUGGACACCUACCCUAUAUAUAGCUCCUUCGACGAGUCGAGUAGUUUGGGAAUGCUGCUCUAAAUGGGAGGUAAAUUUCUUCUAAAGCUAAAUACCGGCCAGAGACCGAUAGCGCACAAGUAGAGUGAUCGAAAGAUGAAAAGCACUUUGAAAAGAGGGUUAAAUAGCACGUGAAAUUGUUGAAAGGGAAGCGUUUACGACCAGACCUCUUCCAGGCGGAUCAUCCGGUGUUCUCACCGGUGCACUUCGUCUGGUUUAGGCCAGCAUCGGUUUUCGUAGGGGGAUAAAGACCUGGGGAACGUAUCUCCUUCGGGAGUGUUAUAGCCCCUCGUGUAAUACCUCUACGGGGACCGAGGACCGCGCAAGGAUGCUGGCGUAAUGGUCGUCAACGACCCGUCUUGAAACACGGACCAAGGAGUCGAACAUUUGUGCGAGUGUUUGGGUAUUAAACCCUCACGCGUAAUGAAAGUGAACGGAGGUGAGAGCCCUUCGGGGUGCAUCAUCGACCGAUCCUGAUGUCUUCGGAUGGAUUUGAGUAAGAGCAUAACUGUUCGGACCCGAAAGAUGGUGAACUAUGCGUGGAUAGGGUGAAGCCAGAGGAAACUCUGGUGGAGGCUCGCAGCGGUUCUGACGUGCAAAUCGAUCGUCAAAUCUGCGCAUGGGGGCGAAAG
rnacentral:rRNA from 1 species